rnacentral:rRNA from 1 species
CCUACGGGAGGCUGCAGUCGAGAAUCAUUCACAAUGGGGGAAACCCUGAUGGUGCGACGCCGCGUGGGGGAAUGAAGGUCUUCGGAUUGUAAACCCCUGUCAUGUGGGAGCAAAUUAAAAUGAUUGUACCACAAGAGGCAGAGACGGCUAACCCUGUGCCAGCAGCCGCGGUAAUACAGGGGACUCAAGCGUUGUUCGGAAUCACUGGGCGUAAAGCGUGCGUGGGCUGUUUGGUAAGUCGUGGGUAAAAGGCGCGGGCUCAACCCGCGGACGACACAUGAUACUGCGAGACUAGAGUAAGGGAGGGGGAACCGGAAUUCUCGGUGUAGCAGUGAAAUGCGUAGAUAUCGGAAGGAACACUCGUGGCGAAGGCGGGUUACUGGACAGUAACUGACGCUGAGGCACGAAGGCCAGGGGAGCGAAAGGGAUUAGAUACCCCAGUAGUC